rnacentral:lncRNA from 1 species
GUCAUAUUAAUCUCUGAGCUUUUGAAAGAGGUAAUCUUAGCGACCCAUUGCCACAUGUUGAAUUACUUUCCUAUUUUCAAAUGUUUGCAAUACUGAAUUGAUAUUGAGACUUGUUUUAAGGUUAAUUCUGAUACUCUCAAAGAAGUUCAACGUCUAGCCAGUCUGGACGGUACUAAUAGGGAAGAUGAAGUAAGUAUUAUUCGCACUUUACCUUGUACGUGAACUAAGCAAAUUUGUUGUUAACUGGCGCUGGUACUCUGUAGAGAUUAUGUCCUUUAAUCCAUCUGAUCAAGAUAUAUCUUAUCGAGCCAGCCAACUAAGCAGUUCAAGAUGGAUGCUGAGAAAUUAAUCAUUCAUGAUGCACCUAUGAUUGGAUUCGAUGCAAUGAUGAGAGCCAAUUCCAUCCAGGAUGCACCUAUGAUUGGAUUCGAUGCAAUGAUGAGAGCCAAUUCCAUUCAGGAUGCACCUAUGAUUGGAUUCGAUGCAAUGAUGAGAGCCAAUUCCACGCUUGAAGAUUUUGUACGUACACUUUGACACCUUCGACAACCUUAGUUACCCUGUGCUUCUCUAAGACUAUGUGCUAAUACUAUCCUAUUGCCUUUUUUUUUUCCGAAGUUGUCAUGAUUUUACUUGUGAAAAAACCCCAUUGAACUCACUUAUGAACAUUAGGUUCAUAUCAAAAUAAGAUAAAUUGACAUGGAGUACAUUUUGCUCAUUCUUGAAUCACACCGGUUAAGAAUUUCAGACAGGAACUAUAUCAGUGAGAUGUCUGCAGCUUUGGCUGUUCUCAUGCAAGCACGUUUUUAUACUUUUGUAGUUUUGUUUCUUAAAUGUCCUUAUAGAUGUUACAUAGAAUGCUGCUAUUCUCAACUUUAUUUUUCUUGAAAUGGCAGUGCAGG